rnacentral:lncRNA from 1 species
UUCUCUGUGAGGCUGAAAACAAUUCAGAGAAUGUGUUCUAACAGGUCAAUAUGGAGUAUAGUGCUAAGAUUUUUUUUUUCUGUUUACUUUUUGAAGACCAACUGACUCGUGUUUACCAGUGAAGUUAUGGCUCCAACAUUAUUGCUAUAGUUAGUAGAACUUGUUUAACAAAAGUAUUUAGGAUAUAGGGUAAAGCAGGUGGCAAUAUAUUUGUAUCAAACGUAAUAUAAAAUGUGUGUGUGUGUGUGGGGGGGUGUAUUUCUAGUGGUUACAGCAAUACCUAUAUUCCGGAAUAUUGACUUUUUCUCAAAAUAUUUCAGUGUGUUUUAAAUAUAGUAAGCAAUUCUGUGACCACUGAAAUUGAUGCUUGGUAAAACUGAUUCCUGCAUGGUGAGGGUUUGACCUCUAGAGUCCUCCUCAUCCACUGCUGACUGUGCAUUGUUUCUGAAAACUAUGAGCAGAGAUUUGCCAGUGUUGUUGCUAAAUAGCUGUGUGAAUAACUGCUGAAAUUCAGAAUGGAUUUAAGAUCAGAAAGUUCUCAGUAAAAUAUAAAUGCAUCUGUUCCAACUAAUGUGAAGGUUUAUUUGGGAAAUGGAGAAAAUCAUGCUGUGUGAUGACCAUACUUCCUUAGUCUGAAAGCAUAUGAAAAUAGUUGCUGUGACUUAACAUAAAUUAACCAGGAGCAUUUUAAUGAAGAAUGUAGUAUAUGUGUGCUUCUAUCUCUGUAAUAGCAGCCACCUCUCAACUGUGUGUGUAGCUGCAAGGCGUUCAGUCUCUUUUCUCAGAUGAAAGCAAUUCUCUGUAGAAUUCUAAGCAUAAAAUAAAUAGUUGAGCAAACUUUUAUCCAUCUACUUUAAUGUAAAUUCGUUUGUGUUGUUGAGAUCAGCCUCAAACCUGUUCAAUUUUUCUCAUUCUUUUUUCGAUCUUUCACUUGAUAAAUACUUCAAGCUGUUUAUAGCUAAUUCCAAGGCAGAUAGAUGCAUCACUUGCGUGGAGGGAGAGCAUGCAUACUUACAGAGUAUCUGUCUUUCUGAAGCAGGUUACUUGAAAACAAAUAUUUGGAGGCUACCACAUAUUCUUGAUUAUUGA